CUUGGAAUGUAUCCCUAAUUAGUUAAUUAGUGAGACUGGGGCAAGGUGUUACAUGUGUUGUGUUCUAUUCAAAGCCCUGGCAGGUAUUCUCUCGUAGAUCAGAUAUGAAACUUGGGUGCUGUGAUGGUGAAUUUACGAGUUUCCCUGAAGCAGAAUCACAUCACAGCAAAAGAUUACUGAAGGAGUAACAGCGAAGUAGGAUGAUACAGUGGAUACAUGGAAUUGGUUAUGUAGCAGACAUAUCUGGAUAAUUGCUACACUACAUGGAAAAAACAGCAGCCGCAGACAUGAGUGAAGAGACCUGGAGUACAAAA